CAAGGCACACAGGAAACACCUUUUCUUAAAUCAUUUUCAGCAAGAAUGCAGACCCCUCCUGAGCGAGAGUUUUUGCGGUUGCUAUUAAAGGAAAGGUAUCCUUCGAUUUUAACCUGCUUCUUAGUUUCUUGGAGACACAGAAUGUUUGCUUGUUUGAGGAUUGUCAGAAAUUCGUUAUUUUCAAAUUUGUUAGAUCCGUCUCCUGUACUGUCCUGAAUGUUCCAGGACAUUACAGCGACUUGAUCUCGUGAGGCUUGUUUGUUUUUGAAUUUUAGGGUUAUUCUAGCGCUCUGUAGAGGGCUGCAUUCUAUGGGAUCUCAUACCAAAGGCACGAUAAAGGCCAAGUUUUAUGUUAACACAAAGUUUUUUAGACCGUACUCUGAGACAUGACGUUGGUCUUCCUUCAGUGGGUUAGGAGAGUCUUGGGAUGACCCGGCAGCAGAGAUGGCACGGGAAAAGUUUCCAGUGUUGUUUACAGUGAAGAGGCGCCGGUAUAAGUCACUUAGUUCUCUUUUAGUGAACUUUUAUAAACGUUUCCUUCGUGUCUUACGUAAUUACCAAGAAUGUUGAUUCACGAUGUCAGGCCCAGUGGUGCAUCUCGCUACAACCAAGAAUGUGGCUUGGAGAUUGGUUAAUUUGUCUUAUGGUUAUUUUUAGAUUAACUAACUAUACUAGCAUGGAUUAACCUGAAUUUGUGUGCUCGUUUACAUUUUGUUGUGAUUUGUACUUCCAUUUUUAUUGACACUGCAGCAUAGGAUUAGUGCUAUAGUUUAUAGUGUGUGUAAUUUACGAUGUUGCCCACGUAAAACAACAUACUGAAAUAAUAUCCAAGGUUGAUAGGACUUAAUAACUACCACAUUUACAGGAAGUAUGGUAAUACAUUCUUGUCAGCUGUCUGGGCAAAUCUUCUCUCGCAGAAUUGGAUUACAAUUGAAUGUCUUUUAUCUCUCACUUCUAACGAUGUCGCAAUCAGGCUAGACUGCACAGGAAGCUAUCAAUAGUCUCAAGAUAUGACAUAAUUUGGCAGAAUGAUAGUACUUUGAAGUCGAGUUCUCGAUACAGGGAGCUGCUGGUAAACUACCGUCGCUAUACAUGGACUAUGAC